AUACGUAGGGUGCGAGCGUUGUCCGGAAUUACUGGGCGUAAAGAGCUCGUAGGUGGUUUGUCGCGUCGUCUGUGAAAUUCCGGGGCUUAACUCCGGGCGUGCAGGCGAUACGGGCAUAACUCGAGUACUGUAGUGGAGACUGGACUUCCUGGUGAAGCGGUGCAAUGCGCAGAUAUCAGGAGGAACACCGGUGGCGAAGGCGGGUCUCUGGGCAGUAACUGACGCUGAGGAGCGAAAGCAUGGGUAGCGAACAGGAUUAGAUACCCUGGUAGUCCAUGCCGUAAACGGUGGGCGCUAGGUGUAGGGGUCUUCCACGACUUCUGUGCCGUAGCUAACGCAUUAAGCGCCCCGCCUGGGGAGUACGGCCGCAAGGCUGAAACUCAAAUGAAUUGACGGGG
rnacentral:rRNA from 1 species